UGGCUCAUUAAAUCAGUUAUCGUUUAUUUGAUAGUACCCUACUACAUGGAUACCUGUGGUAAUUCUAGAGCUAAUACAUGCGCAAAACCCCGACUUCGGAAGGGGUGUAUUUAUUAGAUAAAAAACCAAUGCCCUUCGGGGCUCCUUGGUGAUUCAUAAUAACUUCACGAAUCGCAUGGCCUUGCGCCGGCGAUGGUUCAUUCAAAUUUCUGCCCUAUCAACUUUCGAUGGUAGGAUAGUGGCCUACCAUGGUGGCAACGGGUAACGGGGAAUUAGGGUUCGAUUCCGGAGAGGGAGCCUGAGAAACGGCUACCACAUCCAAGGAAGGCAGCAGGCGCGCAAAUUACCCAAUCCCGAUACGGGGAGGUAGUGACAAUAAAUACUGAUACAGGGCUCUUUUGGGUCUUGUAAUUGGAAUGAGAACAAUCUAAAUCCCUUAACGAGGAACAAUUGGAGGGCAAGUCUGGUGCCAGCAGCCGCGGUAAUUCCAGCUCCAAUAGCGUAUAUUAAAGUUGUUGCAGUUAAAAAGCUCGUAGUUGAACCUUGGGCCCGUCCUGCCGGUCCGCCUCACCGCGAGUACUGGUCCGGAUGGGCCUUUCUUUCUGGGGAAUCCCAUGGCCUUCACUGGCUGUGGCGGGGAACCAGGACUUUUACUGUGAAAAAAUUAGAGUGUUCAAAGCAGGCCUUUGCUCGGAUACAUUAGCAUGGAAUAAUAGAAUAGGACGUGCGGUUCUAUUUUGUUGGUUUCUAGGACCGCCGUAAUGAUUAAUAGGGAUAGUCGGGGGCGUCAGUAUUCAGCUGUCAGAGGUGAAAUUCUUGGAUUUGCUGAAGACUAACUACUGCGAAAGCAUUCGCCAAGGAUGUUUUCAUUAAUCAGGGAACGAAAGUUAGGGGAUCGAAGACGAUCAGAUACCGUCGUAGUCUUAACCAUAAACUAUGCCGACUAGGGAUCGGGCGGGGUUUCUAUGAUGACCCGCUCGGCACCUUACGAGAAAUCAAAG
rnacentral:rRNA from 1 species